UACGUAGGGACCAAGCGUUGUUCGGAUUUACUGGGCGUAAAGGGCGCGUAGGCGGCAAUUCAAGUCAGUUGUGAAAUCUCCGAGCUUAACUUGGAACGGUCAACUGAUACUGUCUUGCUAGAGUACAGAAGGGGCAAUCGGAAUUCUUGGUGUAGCGGUGAAAUGCGUAGAUAUCAAGAGGAACACCUGAGGUGAAGACGGGUUGCUGGGCUGAUACUGACGCUGAGGCGCGAAAGCUAGGGUAGCAAACGGG
rnacentral:rRNA from 1 species